CGGCGGCCCGAGGGAACUUUGGCGUCCCGUUGUGAGGCCAAGCGAUGCCGCGGCCAAAAGCCGCCGCGUGCAGCCGGGAGGGCCGGGGUCGGCUGGGGAGCAGCUUCCCUAUGGAGGGAGCGCGGUUGGGCAGGGCGGUGAAACAAGCAAAAGCGGGGUACCCGCUGGUAGCAGGGAGAAGGCGUUUAACCCGGCCGCAGGCGCUCCCCGCCUCACGUUCCGUCCCCGGGUGCCUGGGUCCCGGCGGGGGCAGGAGCUGCCGCUGAGGAGAGGCCUCCGAGCGCCUGCUCCCGGGCUGUGAGGCGAGCGCGGCCACGGUGUGAGGAGAAUUCGCAUCUUCCCGGAGCUACAGGUUGCUCAAAGUGGGCUGAAAGUGUCUUAGGAAUUACUCGUACUACCAUUUUUAAUCAGUGACCGAGCAUUCAGGUGUGACCACCCAUACUUUGCAGCGUUUCCUUGUGUAGCUGCAAGUCUGCCCUCAUGUCCCUGUGCGCAAACUGGAGGCCGGUGGCUGCAGUAGUGCAACGUGGAGACCACAUUAAUAAGCUUGCUGUUCAGUAGCUGGUUGUCUCGUGCCUGGCACUAAUCAGAAGUGCACAGAGACGCGCACCUGCCUGCAGAGCUGGUAACAGCACAGCAUCCCCCCUUGGCUUCUGUGAGAUCUAGCACCUCUGAAAAACAAGCUAUUUAUUUAGACCUGAAUUUGCAUGGAGUGGCUUCUUCACGCACCGUUAAUCAAGAAUGUAUUCCUCCCAAGUUAUGUGCAAAACCAAUCUGCAUGGCAGCAUGGAUACAGAGUCAAACCGCAGGCCUGGUCCAGAAAUUAAAGAGUGAGCACAUAAGGGUGCACACAGCAAGAUGCUGCGCUUCAUUGGACAGUAUCUGGAAACUGGCAGCUAGAAUGACCUGCUAUUCAACCCUUGUUGAGAGGGAAUCUCACACAAAAAUCGAAACUUCCCCAGAAUCGGUUGCUGACCUAAAUGACAGUGGGAAUCUUCAGAGUAAAAUGAGAAGAAUGAGGAACAUUUUUUACAACACAAGAGUUACUCUUAAGAGGGUGACCCCAUGUUAAUUUCAACAAAUUCUAACUCACCAAAAGUCAGUGUUUUAUUGCAUGAGAAGCUCAAAAGUAUUGUUCCCAUGUGAGAAAUCCCACAGAUGCUUGCCUAACAUGGAAGACAACAUGUAUGCGAAAAAUCUAUUUGAAACACAGGAAAAUAUAUGCUGCUUUAGGGGUUUGUCAGAGAAUGGUCAUGACCUAAUUAAUUUUAACACCAUGGUCUGUGUUGCUGCUGGAGAAGCAGAGAAAUACUGCAUCAGACAGGGGCAUUCCCACCCUACAGAUCUAAUCACUGAUCACACAGACAAUUGUUGCCUUAAAGUGGAAGAUUCUGUUUCUGGUCCACCUCCAGCUGAAGUCCAGGCAUGUGAAAAGACUGGGUUCAGUAGACCUGUAACCAUGAAUACCCUGUUGAGUGAGCAGGCAGAUACUCCCAUAGCAAAUCAGAAUUAUUUUACAAAAUAUGAUUCUGCAAAUUCAGACAGCAUUUUGGAGGCUUAUCCAAGUGUAAGUGAUGACUUUUCUGAUGAUGUCCUAGAGUAUUUUGAAUGUUCAGAUGUGCUGACAGCACAUGAAAAUGAAAUCUGGGAAAAGAAAUUACAGUUUUUAUUAGAAAGUGGUGAUGAAGAUGAUUUAAAUCUGAGUAAGGAUUGUGAUGGGUGUGCUUACUUCCUCAGUGAAAUGCCGUGUCUGUUCCGAGUGUCAGAUAACACUAUGCCUAUGGAUACUACCAUUGGCUUCUGUGGUCAUCACUCAAAAUUCGAAGGAGUAAAUGUAAGGAGAGACCCCUCUACAUACAGCCAGUCAACUUUGCAGACGGAGAUGACUCUAACUGUUGGACAACACCGAGAUAAAACUACCAGUGUGAAAGACGAAGAGAAGGGUAAAGUGCCUGUCGCAUCUGCUGUCAUUGAAAAUGAGUGUCUCCGAACUGAAGAAGAAAAUAAUGGAUUUGGCCAGACAGAUUUCUCAACCAACAAACGUCAGAACACGGACAAUGUCCCUGCAAAGGCAGACUCCUCUACUGAUGGCAUAGAUACUGCUUUGACAGAUCAGGCUUCAGAGACAACAACAGAAAACAAGGUGGACGAGAACUUGCUGGGUGAAAGCUCAUUGCUGCUAGAGGAGGGGAGAAGAAAUUCAUCAGGGGAAAAUGCAAGGCAUACUGCCUCUACCUUAACAGAAACUCUAACAAGAAACCUUUUAAAGUUUCUAAACCCUAUAGAGCUCUGCAGAUAUGUCGGUAAUAUAGGGCAAUCUUUUCAGGCUGCUGUAGAGGUGAGGGAAUCCACUGCUUUGUUUCCCAGUCAGGAAGGAGUCCUUCCAGCACAAAUUUGUGAGGAGACAGAAAGCUUGCAAAUGCAGGCUGGUUUGUGUCGUACAGAAGAGGCAGAUAAAGACUGUCAUUGGGAACAGAAAAAGACUCGGGGCCUGUCUGAGCAAAAUCAGGUGCCAGAUGACAACGUCUCACCCAGGAAUCAAGUUGCCGGUCUUAAAAUCUCUAUCCAAAAUUGUGAUAGAGAAUGUAUGGAGCCUGAAAUAGCAAAGGAAGGCAUCCUCAUGACUUGCCAGAAUGCAGGAACCAUCCAUUCAGCUUCAGAAUGUACUGAAAAGCCAUUACAAGCAAAAAAUGGAAGUUUACAAACCUAUUCGCAACACCAUGCUCCUUGUGAUAAGAGAGAAAGUUGUCACCAACAAGUCUUCUGGGAACAAGGGAAGGAUAUUAGUAGUAAUGGCAAAAAAUCAAAGAAAGAUAUUUCACCUUUUCUUUUAUGGGACGGAGAUUCUGUUCCUGAUAAACAAGAAUGUUUAUGUGCUGUUCUCUCUUCUGCAAAGCUAUGUGAUGAGCCAAAAGAGGGAGGGCAAAGGUAUGUUUUUGAUUCGCAUGACGGCAAUGACAGAGAUACUCUCUGCGGUGUAUCAUGUGAGGAAUCUCUGUUUGAAGCUAAUCCCAAGUCAGUUCUGGAAUCUGGAGAACCUGGGUGCAAAGGAGAUGCCGAUUUAUCUACAGUGCAUGACAAGCUCUGGAAACUUCUUCAUGAAGAUGACUCAGACUAUCAAAUCCCAUUUGAAAACAGGGGAAUCACAAGUUUAGAGGUAAGGCUGACAAAUACCAAAGUCACAGAACUGAACUGUGUGCAAGGGACCUGUUCUGAUCACCCUUUGCCCCCAAAUUUCAUAGAACAGCAGGAACCUAUUACACAGCCACCUACUAGGCAAAGAACAGAGAAAGAAGACUGCAGUGUCUCUAAUGUCCUACUGAAAACAGAGGAAGCAUGUAACAGUGCAUCCAUAGAAAACUUUUCUCUUACACAAGUGGUAGAAGCAGAUGGUUUAUGUAUCAGUUCUAGCACUGGAAAUAAAACAGAAACGCCAUCCACUUGUAUUUCAGAAAAUAGUAUCUUAAAUACAGAGGAGUGCUUGGAGCAGAAGCCAAAUCAAACAUUAAUUGUCAAUAAUGGAGCCGUUCAAAAGACUGUUUCUCAGGAAGGUAAGCUUACCGUUAAUAAUACUUUCCAAACAUGUGAUAUAGAUUAUCAAAGAUUAAAAAAUGCCCAGAGUAGUAACUUAGCAUGUGAUAAAGAAAACCCAGUUUACAAGUCAGAUAAGUCACGUUGGACAACUGGACAAUUACCUCAUACUGAGCGGAACAUAUCCUUGAUAAAUGAGACUAUGACUGAGACCACAGAUGAAGAUGCUGGUAAAGACUGUCAUUUUAAAGACUGUUACCCAGCAAGAAAAAAAAUGGCAUAUUUCCCUGAGGAGAAAGUUAUUUUCCCCAGUAAUUCCUCUGUUGAAAACACCCAUCAGUUUACACGUGAAAAACACUCUUCUGUUAACACCAUACAUAGAAGUUAUGAAGAUAAUUUACAAGAAAAAAGAAAUCACUCAGAGCUGAAUGCACAAAACGGCACUAAUUGUAGCAGUUAUCAUCCUUCAAAAAAUUAUGACUGUCAAGAUUUUCAAGUUGUUUCUAAUACACAGAAAUACAGUUACCCAAUGAAAUUGCCUGAUUUAAUUAAGACUCCUGAAACCAUAGCAUGUAAGAAUCUACCCAAAAGUGUACACCAACUGACAGAAUUAGAAAAACAAGAAGUGGUAUCCACUCCCUCUUCUGAGAAUCCCCUGUUAACAGAUUUUUUUGUAAAGGUGCCCAAAUAUGAACCAAGUAAACCAGGAAAAGAACAGAGAGACAUUUUCAUAGGUGAUGAACAAAGGGCUGAAACAUCCUGUGACUCUGGAGUUAGGCAUGUUUCAGAGAGUCAGCCUGCAGUUUCCCUGCAUAACGUGUCUGAACAACAUUUAUUUUUUGCUGACAACACCUUUAAGCUUGACGAAGAGUUAAAAACAGACUCUUUGAAAAGUCACACGUAUGCCUCUGGGAAUGUAACGUCAUUAUCAGUUAGUACCCCACUGCCUAGAAAGGUUCAGAAUGAGUACUGCACAGUAGCAAAGGAAGAUUGUAGAGACAUUGGUAAUCAGAUGGAUCUCCAGAAACAGACCGUAAGAGAAGCAUCACCAUUCAUAUCUGUAAGCCAGUCAGAGGGCUCUCCUAACAGUGUAGCAGCAAAGGGGCGUUCUGGCACAGGAAGUCGUGUACAAACAGAAUGCACACAAACUGCUGUCAAAGGAGAUGAAAAAUUGACCAAGUUGGGAGCUUCCUGCGAAGCAUUGCAGGAUCACAUCCAUAGGGUACCUGAAGAAAAUAAGGAGGAAGUAAUCUUGCGUGGAAAUAAACAAGAGAUUCAAAGAACUACUGAAUACAACCUAGAUGCUGCUGAAAUGAAGUCUCCUUUGCACGCUUUAAUUAUCUCCAGGGCUCAGAGGCAGAUUAGGAAUAGUAUCACUAAGCAGUCCUCUCCGGACUUGAUCACUUCCAGCAAGCCAGCUGAGGUCGAUUGUUCAGUUAAGUCUACUGAGCAUAAUAAAGACGAAGUCAUGACUUCAGAGACUGCAGUAAGUGCUUUAGUUAACUUGCCAGCAGUUGAUUCAGGGGAUGUCUCUCUUCAAAUGCAGCCAGCAUACAGCAGGACUCAGCCACACUCCUUAGCAUUGACCACAUAUGAUCCGUUCUCAGUCAGUGUGGAAAGGCCAGAAAAUCAAGAAGGGUCUAAGUCCUGCCAGACAUCACCAACUGUUGCUGAGUCUGAGCCCAUCAAGUGUAAACACACAGCAAAGAGUGAGAAUUUAGCUACUGGAGCAAAGAAGAAAUUACCACCAGCAACACUGUCAAAGAAACCCCGACUGGAGGAGAGAGGAAAUGUCAGCAAGGAUCCUAGCUGUUUUAAAAGUGAGGCAAGCAUGAUUCAUAAAGAAAACAGAAAAGAGCAAAGGAAACUGAUUUCGAAAAAGGAUAGCAAAGCUCCCAAGCUGCUGAAGAAAAUCCAAGCAGAGUUGUUCCCUGACUGCUCUGGAAAUGUUAAGCUGUGCUGCCAGUUUGGAGACAUUCAUGGGGACUCCACCAUUACAUGGACUAAAGACUCCAAGUUACUAGCUCAACUGCGGAGAAAUGCCCAGGAUGACUCUCCUGUCUCUUUGGCGAUAGCUAAAGCCAGUAACAAAGACCAAGGAAUGUAUUAUUGCUGCUUGAAUAAUAUAUAUGGAAAGGUAACUGCGGAGUUUAAUCUGACUUCUGAAGUCUUGGAACAUCUUUCAAGUUUUCAGAAUUUUGAAGGUGUGGAAGAAAUUGAAUUCAUGCAGCUCAUGUUCAGAGAAGAUUUCAUCAGUGACAGUUAUUUUGGUGGGAACCUGCACGGAAUAAUAGCUACAGAAGAAUUUCACUUUGGUGAGGGCAUGCAUCGGAAAGCUUUCCGAAGUAAAGUGAUGCAAGGCCUGGUGCCAGUGUUCAGCCCUGGCCAUCCCUGCGUUCUCAAAGUGCACAAUGCUAUCACAUAUGGGACCAAGAGUAAGGAUGAUCUAGUUCAAAAGAACUACAAACUAGCACUGCAGGAAUGCUAUGUCCAAAAUACAGCAAGAGAGUAUGCAAAGAUAUAUGCAGCUGAAGCUGAACCUUUGGAAGGCUUUGGAGAAGUACCAGAGAUCAUUCCUAUUUUUCUUGUUCAUCGCCCUGCUAAUAACAUCCCCUAUGCAACAGUGGAGGAAGAGCUGAUAGGGGAAUUUGUGAAAUACUCUGUCAGGGAUGGCAAGGAAGUCAAUUUCCUGAGGAGAGACUCAGAGGCUGGCCAGAAGUGCUGCACCUUCCAGCACUGGGUGUAUGAGAAAACCAAUGGGAACUUGCUUGUCACUGACCUGCAAGGUGUAGGAAUGAAGUUAACUGAUGUUGGCAUAGCAACACUGGCCAAAGGGCUUUACCCCCCACUCUCACUCCUGAGAGGGAAAAUAGCGUGGGUGGGACGCUCGGAGGCAGCGGAACCUUCCGGAAAGCGCCCUCCCGGCACAGGGCCUGCGGUUGGAGGGAGCUCAGCAGCUGCGGUCUGCAGGGAGGAGAUGCACGUUUUCGCCCUAUGUUUUCUGCUCCCUUUGGAGCCAUCUCACUGCAGCUGUCUUCGGCCUGCUAGGACCUGCUUGCAGAGGACGUGGAAGGUUCCUUCAAAUGCUACUUCAGGAGCUCUGGAAGGAUUGCUAGGUGGCUAGAGUGUCAGAAGAUAAAAGCUCAAAUCCUGCUCAGGACCUCAGAAAGAGCGUAGCCUUUUUAGCCAAAGUAUUAACAAGCUGAAGUUUCUGGACUGAGGCCGGUUAUUGUCAGCGGUGGACUGUACUUGCCAGUGGAAGCUGUGAAGCAGGUAAGGCCACCACUGUUGGCAACAAGGUGAAGUUUUGUUUUUUUGCAUGUGGUAUCAACUGGUCUCAUAAAGCAUUAGAUGGGUUCUUGGGGAAAAAUCCUAUGCGUAGUAUGUGGACUAAACUUGGAAAACUGAAGAUCAUCAAAUUACUGAA